GGCAGCAUAGGAUAGGAAAUGAAAGCUAAAGCCUUGUCUGUCUCCCUGAAGUUCGCUACCAAUUGUAAACAGCAGAGGACAGCUCAGCCGGAGGCAUGUGUCUGUGUGAAACGACUUUAUUUCAUGUGAUAAGUUUGUGGAAGAAGGAUGCCAUGUUUGGAGGCGUUUGCUAUUGUUUUACACAGACUACGAGGGACAGCGCUCGUUAAACCAGGUCUGUGAGGAUGAGAAGGUCUCCACAGUCUGGAGUCUGGUCUCUGACAGGCUCAACAUACCUGUCAAUCAACAGGGACUCCUCUACAAAGGCAAGGCGCUGGCAGGUAGGCUGAACAGCACAGCACAGCUCACCCCUCCUCUCACCCCUCGCCUCACCCCUCCUCUCACGCCUCGCCUCACCCCGGGUCAGUGUGGCACAGCCUGCCUGCUCUUCUGAACAAACACUAAAGCCAUGCCAACGCAGUGAGAGUCUGCAGCAGCAACACAAGGAUUACGAGCGGAGGCUGCGCUUGUUGAGCCUGGAUGAUAUGGAGAGGCUGGCGACCCGCAUGCUUCACCCUGAGGCUGUGGAGUGCAUGGAGCUGUCCUUCCUGGACUGAGGAAAACUGCUGCUGCCCUCUCCACCCCUCCCCUCUCUCCUCUGUCCUCCCCCUCUCCUCUCCUCUCCUUACUUUGUUUAAAAGAAUAGAAGCACACCCAGUGAGCAAGGCAUUGAGCAGCCCCACAUCCCGCUUCACAAUACCGCUACAUAUUGACUGACUGUUUGCAUCGUGUGUGUUUGGUAAGACAAACCACAUUUUCUCCUUUCUGCUAUUUUAAAAGGGGGUUGUGGGUAACAGAGUGUGUUUUUGCUGGGGACUGCAGCCCUUCCAUUACCAUUGCUCGUAGAGGGGAGAUUGUUUUACUUCCAAGCCUUUUUCUUUAAUAAAUCCGGACGUUUGGAAAUACAUACUGUGUGGACGUUUCCCUUCUUCAUGGCUCCAUGCAGCAUCCUGUCACACAACAAGCCCUGAAAGGGGAUCUAUACAUAUUUAUUCUCAAUCACCAGGCAGUAAUCACAGCUACAAUACAGACACACAACGUGUCACUUUUAUUGGCUCAAACUGUAAACUACGACUAGAAGCCUCUGAAGCCUUUUCAUGGCCCUCCACCUGUCCUUGA